rnacentral:rRNA from 1 species
UUACGGGAGGCAGCAGUGAGGAAUAUUGGUCAAUGGGCGCAAGCCUGAACCAGCCACGUCGCGUGAAGGAAGACGGCCCUACGGGUUGUAAACUUCUUUUGUAAGGGAAUAAAGUGUAGUACGUGUACUAUUUUGCAUGUACCUUACGAAUAAGGAUCGGCUAACUCCGUGCCAGCAGCCGCGGUAAUACGGAGGAUCCGAGCGUUAUCCGGAUUUAUUGGGUUUAAAGGGUGCGCAGGCGGGAGAUUAAGUCGGCGGUGAAAUUUUGCAGCUUAACUGUAAAAGUGCCUUCGAAACUGGUUUCCUUGAGUGUAGAUGAAGUAGGCGGAAUUUGUGGUGUAGCGGUGAAAUGCAUAGAUAUCACGAGGAACUCCGAUUGCGCAGGCAGCUUACUAAACUACUACUGACGCUCAGGCACGAAGGCGUGGGGAUCAAACAGGAUUAGAUACCCCGGUAGUCC